GGUAGUCGAGGGCGAUAGCCACCUGGUGGACGCAGCGCUUGGCCACCAUCUCAGGGAGUCCCACCUGGACAGAAGGAGAAAUAAAUACAGUCACGUCGGAAAAGCAAAGUCAUGGCACUGUUUCUGUGUUGACUUCUAACAUGGUGCUGACCUCCAACCAGCUUUUGACAACUAUAUUGUCACUGUGCAGCAGCAAUGAUCGUACAGCUGCAGAUCAAGUUUGGAUGUCAGUUCAACCCCUCCACCAGUUUGUCUUCAUUGUGCUGACCCAAGUGACCCGCUGAACUCCACACCCAGCAAGUGGAAACAGAAGAGCCACUUGAUUCCACCAGCAGUGAUGUCCAGUGUCUGUUCGCCAUCAGUAAAGUGUGUGACUGAGCUCUCACCUGUGGAGGGAUUAUGUCAAACAGAUCUCCUGCCAGCGCGUACUCCUGAGCGAAGAUGUAGUAGUCGUCGGUUUCGAAGGCGAUGCCGUACAUGUUGAUGAUGAAGGGGCAUGGCGACAGGUACAGAGAGAUGCUGUACUCUCUUAGGAAGCUCUUCAGCUUGGUGGUCUUCUUCCUCAGAAACUUCAAAGCCAUCUUUGUGCCUGAAAACGAGGACGUGAUGGGUUACAUAACUUCCAAUCUCGCUCCUCACUUCUUGUUCUUUUCCAGCCUAUUAAAGUGUUUGGGGAUUUA